AUUGAACGCUGGCGGCAGGCUUAACACAUGCAAGUCGAACGGUAACAGAAAGAAGCUUGCUUCUUUGCUGACGAGUGGCGGACGGGUGAGUAAUGCUUGGGAAUAUGCCUUAUGGUGGGGGACAACAGUUGGAAACGACUGCUAAUACCGCAUAACAUCUCCGGAUCAAAGUGGGGGACCUUCGGGCCUCACGCCAUAAGAGUAGCCCAAGUGGGAUUAGCUAGUUGGUAAGGUAAUGGCUUACCAAGGCGACGAUCCCUAGCUGGUCUUAGAGGAUGACCAGCCACACUGGAACUGAGACACGGUCCAGACUCCUACGGGAGGCAGCAGUGGGGGAAUAUUGCACAAUGGAGGAAACUCUGAUGCAGCCAUGCCGCGUGUGUGAAGAAGGCUUUCGGGUUGUAAAGCACUUUCAGCGAGGAGGAAAGGGUGUGUUUUAAUAGAGCACAUCUGUGACGUUACUCGCAGAAGAAGCACCGGCUAACUCCGUGCCC
rnacentral:rRNA from 1 species